CAGUAGCCGCGGUAAUACGGAGGGAGCUAGCGUUAUUCGGAAUUACUGGGCGUAAAGCGCACGUAGGCGGUUUUGUGAGUUAGAGGUGAAAGCCUGGUGCUCAACACCAGAACUGCCUUUGAUACUGCAUCGCUUGAAUCCAGGAGAGGUGAGUGGAAUUCCGAGUGUAGAGGUGAAAUUCGUAGAUAUUCGGAAGAACACCAGUGGCGAAGGCGGCUCACUGGACUGGUAUUGACGCUGAGGUGCGAAAGCGUGGGGAGCAAACAGGAUUAGAUACCCCAGUAGUCCCUGUCUCUUAUAC
rnacentral:rRNA from 1 species